UCUUGUGUGACGCAUCUGAGAGCAGGCGGCCGCCCUGGUCGAUCCACUUCUGACGGACGCGAGAGCAGCCGCCGUCGUCGCCGCUCCUCCCACGGAGGCGAGAGAAGGACGCCUCCCGCGCCGCUUCUCCUCUGCUGCCCCAUGUAGGUCGCCAAUCCUCUUCCGACGGACACGAGCGUAGGCCGACGCCCCUGCCGAUCCCUUUCUAACGGACACAAGAGCAGGCCGCGGUUCCCGCCGCUCCUCUUCCAACGGAUGCGAGAGCAGGCGGCCGCCCCGCCGCUCCUCCUCUGCUACCCCAGCAUCACCGGAACAGGAGAGCGCAGUGGAAGGAGCAUCAGGCACGUGGCUGCGGCGGCCGCGAAGGACGAAAAAGAGAUGGAUGGGUUCUGGCCAAGUUUCCGUGGCUCACGGUGUAUCCAACUCUCUAGAAUAACUAGAACAUGAGUUACCACGACUUCUACAUCAAAGGUUGGAUCUUUAGCAGUUUGUUGUUGGGUGUGCCAACUUACUAAUCUGAUUUGAUAAGUCAACCUGAGGAACUGCCGAUUGGGUGUGAAUGAAGUUGCUAUUAUGAUUUUGUUCGUGUGCGCUAAUGAUAGAUCUCUAAACUUGCAUUUCUCUACUAUGUUUGUCUGUGAGAGCUGCUGCGUUGGAUAAGGCCGACAUGCACCAAUGUAAACUUUAGAUGAAGCUUACAACAUCGUGAGGAAUAACCUUGAUUUCUGCAUGAGUAAUGUACCUGUAAUGUUUCAUGCCGUGUUCCUGGACUACCAGCAUUUCAAAAUGAUAAGCAUUAUGCAUCAAAGUUUUCUUUGCAUGACAAUUGGUAUGGUUGUUGCUUGACAAAUGAUUUAAAGGCGUAAAUUGAUUAGAUAACAUGUCAUGUUUUCUAAUUUGUGAAUCAUAUAGUUCACAUAAAUAUUUCGAAGCUGGACUAGAUUGAUUUUUAAGUUUGCCACUAACUGCACCUGCACAUGUACAUGCCAAAUUUGUAGCAUUUUACCUUGAAGAAUCAGAUAAAAAGAAGUAGAUGUAAUAAAAUUAAUUUUCGUAACAUGUAUGACUUCCAAAUUUAUAUAUUGGAGCUCAUUGUCAGUUCAAAUACCUCUCCUUCGAUGUUAUUGGUGAUUCCAGUUGAAUUGAAUGUUGAGAAUUGCUUUGCAGCCUGUGUGAACACUUACAUUAUUAGUGAAGAAGAAUAAAUUUAAUCAGAGAUGCUUCUAUUUGUUCUCUAAUGAUGUAAUCAUGUAACUCAUAUGCUUUCUCUUGUCAACAAGCAAGGUACUUCCUUCAGCAACUACUUUCGGAGGUCUGCUACUGCCAUUUCAUGGUACACUUUGCUUUUGAAAAUUAUCAAAGGAAACCAAUGCAGAAAAAAAAAUGCCCAUGAACUGAUGCUAGAAAUGCAGGAAAUCUGUCACCGUGAUCUUAAAAAUGAUGAGUCCAACAUCCCAUUGAAAAUUUGUAACUGGUUACUCAAAAGUGAUAAUACUUAAGUUAUGUAUAUCAUGGAUUGCUAGAAUUGAUCUUUCCCUUUUAUGCUCUUCGAUUCAUAUAUCAUAUUCGGCUAUCUAGCUCUUGCUUUCCAUACAUUUCUUUAGCAGAACAUCAUCAUAUAUUUUUCUGCUUAAAAAGCAACUUUAAAUGGAAAAUGAGUAAAGAAAUUGACUAUUAUCACAGCCAAUAGCUUUAUUUGUUGCGCUCUUCCGCACUGGAAUACCCUUAAUGCUAAUAAUUUAUUAAUUUUAGUUAGAUGACACCUUAACCCGUAAGUCAUGUUUCUUGCAGUGUAUUUUUUUGACACUUCCCUAAAAUUAAUCAUAUAGAUCUAGAAUAGUUGCUUCUUUAAUUAAAGUAGUCUGCUUAUGGGAGAGAUAAAACAAUCCAGUUCUAUGACCAUGAAUAAUGUCGGAAAUUUCAAAAUAUUUGAUGGAAAAUCCUACACACUUGAAAAGUAAGUUGGGUAUUUUUGAAAAGGAUGAUUCUCUGGCAUGCAUUUUCUAAGUUGUAAUACUCUGCCUUCACUUGCACAAUAACACUGCUCAAAGAUGUAUUAUGCCUUGAUAUGCACAAUAACAUUGCCUUGAUGUACUAUUUUGAAGGCAUAUGCAAAAUUACAUUUGCUCGGAGAAUAAUUUAAUUUGCCUUAUUAACAUCAAUAUUUAGUGGCACAGUAUGCCUCACUCCAGGAAUAAUGUACCAUUGCGAUUGCUUCUAAUUGAAUCUUAUAUUUAAUCAUUUUUCUUGAAAGCGCAUUGAACACCCAUAUAUCUUUCUUGAACUGAUCGGUAUCACUGGACUUUGACAAAUACAUUUCUGAUCUGGUGGUUUGACUAUCGUUUUUUGGUAAUUUACAUAUUGUUACAUGUAUAUACCAGUUGUAAAAUGCACCUAAUUGUAGCGUUGGCACUCUGCUCGCCUGUUUGGUCAUGCCUGGAUCAAUAUUGUGAGCAUCCCAACAUGGCGUGGCUUUGCAUGCCAAGGGCGGUGCAUGGUUGGACAGGGUACAGGUUCUUGCCAGUUACGCAAGGAUGAAGUUUGCAGCCAACUAAGGGGAGAAACGAGAAGAGUUGGUGCAGCCGAAGCCGAACAAGUAUUACUGGAGCUACCUCCACAUUACCUGGAGCCUAAAUUAGAGGACCUAUUCAUUCAUUGUUUUCUUGAUUUUGUGACUGUUCAACAAGUUCUCUAGAUUAUCGUUUUAUGGUACAUGUUUUUCCAUUUUUUUGUCC